UACGUAGGGUGCGAGCGUUGUCCGGAAUUAUUGGGCGUAAAGAGCUUGUAGGCGGUUUGUCGCGUCUGCUGUGAAAAUCCGGGGCUCAACCCCGGACUUGCAGUGGGUACGGGCAGGCUCGAGUUCGGUAGGGGAGACUGGAAUUCCUGGUGUAGCGGUGAAAUGCGCAGAUAUCAGGAGGAACACCGGUGGCGAAGGCGGGUCUCUGGGCCGUAACUGACGCUGAGGAGCGAAAGCGUGGGGAGCGAACAGG
rnacentral:rRNA from 1 species